rnacentral:rRNA from 1 species
GGGGGAUGCAAGCGUUAUCCGGAAUCAUUGGGCGUAAAGCGCCUGUAGGUUGUUUAAUAAGUCUGUUGUUAAAGACUAGGGCUCAACCCUAGAAAAGCAAUGGAAACUACUAGACUAGAGUAUGGCAGGGGUAGAGGGAAUUUCUAGUGUAGCGGUGAAAUGCGUAGAUAUUAGAAAGAACACCAGUGGCGAAAGCGCUCUACUGGACCAUUACUGACACUCAGAGGCGAAAGCUAGGGUAGCAAAAGGGAUUAGAUACCCCUGUAGUCCUAGCCGUAAACGAUGGAUACUAGAUGUUGUAUUUAUUUUACAGUAUCGUAGCUAACGCGUUAAGUAUCCCGCCUGGGGAGUACGCUCGCAAGGGUGAAACUCAAAGGAAUUGACGGGGGCCCGCACAAGCGGUGGAGCAUGUGGUUUAAUUCGAUGCAACGCGAAGAACCUUACCAGGGCUUGACAUACUGCGAAUCUUUUUGAAAGAAGAGAGUGCCUUCGGGAAUGCAGAUACAGGUGGUGCAUGGCUGUCGUCAGCUCGUGUCGUGAGAUGUUGGGUUAAGUCCCGCAACGAGCGCAACCCUUGUUUUUAGUUACCAAUUCGUUGGGUUUUCUAGAAAGACUGCCGGUGACAAACCGGAGGAAGGUGAGGAUGACGUCAAGUCAGCAUGCCCCUUAUGUCCUGGGCUACACACGUGCUACAAUGGUUAGGACAAAGAGUCGCGAGCUCGCAAGAGUCAGCUAAUCUCGUAAACCUAGCCUAAGUUCA